rnacentral:lncRNA from 1 species
GUCUUUGUGGAUUUUUCUCUUGCUUCUCUCCCAGCAAGUGCUGGGGCUGGGGGGGGGNNNNNNNNNNNNNNNNNGAUUUCUUACACAAGUACUAUAUUUACAACCUCUCUUCCCCCCCCCCCAGACUCCUCCCAUGUGACUCUCACCCCCUCCCAUGUGACCCCUCCCUCUUUAAUCUACAUAUGCAAAUGUAAGUGCCGCCUGCUGCGUUCCUUUCUGGACAGUGCCUCUCUCACCAAACUGCCUUCUGCUGGGACUCUGGGACGGUUCACCAGCUCAAGAUUAUCACACUGAGGACCGAACUUACUUAGGGGGACACACUCAAUCCCUAGCAGCCAGCCUGUCCUCAUCUUCUCCUUCUGACAGCAUUAAGAAGCAGCAACUUGGCUAGGAAACUGAGCUAUGGUUCAAUCUGGUUCAUACUCCAAGCCUUUAGAAGCCACGCUGUCUUGGUGUUUGUGUUUUCUCAAGUCUUACCUUGUGUUCUAGGUUUUUCUGUUUCCAUGGAGCGAUCCUCCUGCUGUAGUCUCCCAAGUCAUGGGAUUUCAUGCUUACACCACCUAGCUCGGGAAUAUGGAAUUCCUAAGAACUCUAAUUCCUUCCAUAACAGUAUUCAGUUUUGCUUCUUAUUGUCAACGGUAGCCAUUUUUGCAGAGUUCUGGAUUCUUUUUUUGUUAGCAUCAAGGUAAUUUCAGAGCAAUGACUCUUGUAAAUUUAGAGUAUUUACCCAGAAAAAAUGGGGGUUGGGAGGACAAUCUAAUAAAUCAAACCACUUACUAAAACUAGAAUUAGAUAAAAAAAAUGUUAAUUUAAAACUGAAAAAGAAAUGCCCAAAGCUAAGUCUGCCUCCCUUGUCAAGGCCGCCUCUGAGCCCGUCCCCACCAAAGGCUUGGAGUAUAGACUCCACAAACAUUUUUCCAGGGAUCAGCCCAUGCCACCCACGGCUAGCCACAUGGCUCGCCUCCUCUAUUUGAAAAAUAAAAACAAACCGCCUUCAA